rnacentral:lncRNA from 1 species
AUAUUCUAUUGGUUAGAUACAAGUCACAGGUCCUACCCACAUUGAAGAGGAGGGGAAAAUAAGAGUGUAAUGCCAGAAACAGGGAUCAUGUAGUAUCACCUUAGGUUCAAUAUGUCACCAUCACUCUCCUUACGUUCUCUUAGAUUCCCAAUUUUCUUAUCAGUAUUAUCAGGGUAUGACAGAAUGAUGGUCAGACAUCUUUCAUGAGUUCAGGCAGCACCAUUUCUAAUGAGCACUAUUAUGCCUUCCACAAAGGAACUCAUGGCCUGUUAUCAAGGUGACUGUGCAAUGAGGAAAAGAAAAUGAUGAAACUUUUGGAGAGUUACUGACUGAACACCAGCUGUGAAUUGAUACUAAUUUCUGGAGACAAAACAUGAGUUUGUCCACCAGUCAGUGUCAGAGCUUAUGGAGGUCAGAAGAUCAAUGGAGUUUUAGCUUAGAUCCAUCUUAUAGUGACCCAGUGGGUCGCCAAACCCAUCCUGCAGUUACUUCUCCAGUUCCAGAAUAAAUAAUUGGAUAGAAAUAGUCAGCAACUGGCAGAAUUCCCAUAUUGGUUUACUGACCUCUAAAGCGAGAGCUAUUAUAGUAAGAAAAUACCAAAAGGAAGCCAAUAGAACUGCCUCUACUUUGAAAAAUAGCAAAUUAAAACCCAUAUCUUAUUUCUGGAUGGAUUGCAAACAUUAAUGCCAACAUCAGGAUGCAGAGGUAACAAUUCCCACCGCACCCUCACUCAACUUGCCUAUUUGCCUGUGUGGAAAAGAGAUGGAUCUUGGAGAAUAACAACAGAUUAUCCAGGAACAGAAUCAAGUGAACUUAAAUUGCAGUUGCUGUUUCAGAUGUGAUUUAAUUGCUUGAGCAAAUUAACACAUCCCUUGGUACCUGGUGUGCAGCCAUCGAUUUGUCAAAUGCUUUUUUCUUGAUAUCUGAUAACAUAGACAAGCAGAAGCAGUUUGUCUAGCUGGCAAGGCCACCGAUAAACCUGCACUUGAACUCGCUUGAACUCGGGAGGCACUAUCCUGCCUCUAGGGUAUAUCAACUCUCUAAACUUAUAUUUAGUCCAUAUAAAUUAAUUCAGCUAAAAUUUAGUCCACAGGGACUUUGAUUGCCUUUCCCUUCUACAAGAUAUCACACGGGCCUAUUACAGACGAGUAUUAUGGCGAUUGGACCUGCGAAGCAGGAAAUAGCAACUGCUGUAGACGUAGUUGUAAGACAAUUGCAUGUCCAAGGAUGAAAAAUGAAUCUAGAAAAAUGCCACGGCCUUCUACUUCAGUGAAAUUUCUGGGGGUCCAGUGGUGUACAGUAGGGCAAGAUAUCCCUUCUAAGAUGAAGGAUAAGUUGUUUCAUCUGGCUUCUCCUACAACUGCAAAAGAAGCACAACACUUAUAAGGCCUCUUUAAAUUUUGGAGACAACAUAUUCUUUAUUUGGGUAUGGUACUCCAGCAUUUACUGGGUGACUUGAAAAAACUGCUAGUUUUAACUGAGGUGUAUAAAAAGAAAAGGCUCUGAAACAGGUCCAGUUUGCCGUGCAAACUGCUCUGCCACUUGGAUCAUAUGAUUCAGAAGAUGCAAUGGUGUUUGAUGUGUCAGCAGCAGAAAGAGAUAUUGUUUGAAGACUUUUGCACACUUAUGGGGAAAUACAGUGGAUGCCUUAUAUUUUGGAGCAAAGCCCUGAAAUCCUCUGUGCGUUACUGCUCCCCUUUUGAGAAACAGUUUUUAGCUUGCUACCAAGCCUUAAACUGAACACUUAGCUAUGGGCAACCAAGUAACCAUAUGACCAGAGCUUUCUCUCACAUAUUGGAUGUUGUCUGUUCUACAAGCCAUAAAGUUGGGAAUGCACAAAAAUAUUGCAUUAUUGUAUGUGGAAGUCCUAUAUAUAAAAUUAGGCUUAAGUAGGCCCUGGAGGCACAAGUUUAAUCAGGAAGUGAGCCAAAUAUUCAUGACCCCAAUUCUUGCUGCACUACUUACUCUGUCUCCUAGUCUGCAGAUAUGGCCUUAUAACCAGUUCCCUACAACUAGUUGACUGAGGAAGACAAAACUUGAGCUUGGUUUAGUGAUGGUUCUGCACAAUAUGCAGACACUACCCAAAAGUGGAUGGUUGAAGCACUAUAGCCCAUUGUGGACAUUCCUGAAGACAGUGGAGAAGGAAAACCAUCCCAGUGGGUGGAAAUUUGAGUAGUGUACCCAGUUGUUUAUUUACUCAGAAGGAGAAAUGGCCAGAGGUUUAAGACUAUAUUAAUUCAUAGGCUAUAGCCAAUGGGUUGGCUGAAAGAUCAGGAGCUUGGAAAAAACAUUGUUGGAAAAUUGCUGAGGUAUGUGGAUGGAGACCCUCUAAGUGGGCACCAAAUCUGAAGAUAUCUAUGUCUUAUGUAAAGGCUCACCACGGGUUGCUUCACUAGAGGAGGGUUUUAUUAAUCAAGUGAAUAGAAUGAUCCAUCCCGUCAAUACCAGUCAGCUUCAUUUCCCAGCCAUUCUUGUCAUUACUCAAUGGUGACAGUUACGCAUGGGCUUACCCAUGCAUGGGCUCAGCACUAUGUCUACUCACUAAGGCCAACCUUGCUAUGGCCACUGUUGAGUGCCCAGUCUACCAGCAGAAGAGACCAACACUGAGUGCUUUAUAUGGACUCAUUCGUUAAGAAGAGUGAACAUCACCCGAGGACUUUGCAUUGUCUUCUGGGGAAAGGGUGAGCAUGUUUUUGGUUGCAUAUGGGAUAGUUUUGCCACAGACAGCAGAAGUAUGUUCAUGUUAUUGUCUGUAUUUGGAGAUUGUGUAUAAACUAAGGACAUGUGUUUAAAUGCCAAAUUGACCCAUAGUGAACUGUGAUGAACAGUUUUUGUGUUAAUCCCUAGUUAUUCAAUCAAACUUAAUCUAGAGUGUUGCUGUCAUUGAAGAAUUUUGUAGAUGUAGUAAAAGUCCGUAGUCAGUUGACUUUACGCAAGGAAACUUGACUUAGAAAACCUGGAUAGAUUGCUUCUCGGCCUUUUGGCUAAGAUCAAGUGUAGAAAACCUGGGUGGGACUGAUUAAAUGUGUUUGAAAGGCCUUCAGGGCAGAGUUGAGGCUUUCCAGAAGGAGAAGAGAUUCUGCCAGUGGGCAGCCAUUCAAUUCAUGCCCAAGAGGUCCAGCCUGCCCUUCAUUAGGGCUUGCCCUGCAGACUUCAGACUUGUCCAACCAACCCCACAAUUGUGUAAGCCAGUCAUUUGCAAUAAAUCUGUUUAUAUAUCUCCCACUGGUUCUUUUUCUCUGGUUGAACACUAAUUGAUACAGGCACCAUUCACACUGUGAAUGGAAAUAUUGCGAGCUGAAAAGUGUACAAGAUCUGGCCGUACUUUACUAGCUGGUUGAUUUAAUUUUGUUCAGUAUUAAAAUGAACCAAGUCUAAAUAUUUCAAAUCCUCACAUAAGGGCACACCACUUAGGGACAACAACCAAUAUCUAAACAUUUCCAAAGUUUUGUUUCCUAAAUAAUUAUUUUAACACCAUGAAUGUUUAUUUGUGCAAGCAUUAUGCCCUCUAGUACCUCUUAUUUUUGGUGAUUUUUAUUAAAACAGUACAGUGAAAGAUGAUACUUAUCUGUAUUAUUUUCAGUUAAAUAAUUGUUUGAAUUAUAUUAUACUAAGAAAACUAGAGUAGAGAA